AUGGUUAGGAGUGUACCGAUUGUCGAGAAGCUCUUGAUAGGAGGAGACCUCAAUGGCCACGUGGGCACAUCUAACACAGGUUUUGAAGGGGUGCAUGGGGACUUUGGCUAUGGCAUCAGGAAUCAAGAAGGAGAAGAUGUCUUAAGCUUUGCUCUAGCCUACGACAUGAUUGUAGCUAACACACUCUUUAAAAAGAGAGAAUCACAUCUGGUGACUUUUAGUAGUGGCCAGCACUCUAGCCAGAUUGAUUUCAUCCUCUCGAGAAGAGAAGAUAGGCGUGCAUGCCUAGAUUGUAAGGUGAUACCUGGAGAGAGUGUUGUCCCUCAGCAUAAGCUGGUGGUUGCUGACUUCCGCUUUCGUAUCCGUGUCCAGCAGGAUAAGCGUGCCAAAGUCGCUAGAACAAAGUGGUGGAAGCUCAAGGGGGAGGUAGCUCAGGCGUUCAAGGAGAGGGUCAUUAAGGAGGGCCCUUGGGAGGAAGGAGGGGAUGCGGACAAUGUGUGGAUGAAGAUGGUGACUUGCAUAAGGUGGCCUCCGAGGAGUUUGGAGUGUCCACGGGAAGGAGAAGCGAAGCUAAGGAUACCUGGUGGUGGAAUGAUGAUGUCCAAAAGGCGAUUAAGGAGAAGAAAGAUUGUUUCAUACGCCUAUACCUAG
rnacentral:rRNA from 1 species